rnacentral:rRNA from 1 species
UCCCGCACAAGCAGCGGAGCGUGUGGUUAAUCGUUGCUACACGAAGAACCUUACCUGGGUUUGACAUAGCAGUGGUAGGGAAGAGAAAUCGGACCGACCCUUCGGGGAGCUGUUACAGGUGUUGCAUGGCUGUCGUCAGCUCGUGUCGUGAGAUGUUCGGUUAAGUCCGCUAACGAGCGCAACCCGCGUUGUGUGUUAUAUGUGUCACACAAUACCGCCGGUAUUAAGCCGGAGGAAGGUGCGGAUGACGUCAAGUCAGCAUGACCUUUAUAUCCAGGGCUACACACACGCUACAAUGGACAGUACAACAGGUUGCCAAGCCGCGAGGCGGAGCCAAUCCUCUAAAGCUGUCCUCAGUUCAGAUUGCAGGCUGCAACUCGCCUGCAUGAAGAUGGAGUUGCUAGUAACCGCAGGUCAGCAAUACUGCGGUGAAUACGUUCCCGGGUCUU